AUGGGAGACUUGAAAGAAAAUUGAAAAGGGAAUACUUUUUUCACUGAGUGAUUCAGUAUUAUUUAAUUGUGUCCCUGUACCUUGAGGCUAAGACCACUUCAUCAUCUUUAGAAAAUGCUGGGCUGUUUACUUCCCAGCUAUGAUGCAUUUCAGAAAUGCUGGCUUGUUGUUGGAAGAGACAGCAUGACCUAAAGCAAAGAGCACUAGGACUGAGGCUCGCUCCUGGAUCUCCCUUCCUGGGAUCUGGGGCCCUGAGGAGCUAGCUUAGCAUCCAUCUAACCAUCUAACCAACACUUGGUCUCCAGGGACCCAAGGCCAUGGAAUACGGGUGGCCCGGUUAAUGCCUCCCUUCCACGUGCCUGGCCUGCCCUCCAGGGGUUUGAGCUCCCUGCUUCUGGCCCCAGAGCCAGCUGCUCAUCUCUGCUAAGAUCACCUGGCUCUUGUCUGCCUCCCUGCAGCCCAAACGGCAUCUCCAUCCUGUUGUCAGUGAAUCUGGUGAGCUCAGAAUCCACCUUUGCUUGAACCCCUCCUGGGCAGGGUCUGGCUGGAAGGGUCCAGCUGGAAGGACCUGUGGGGCAUGGACCCCAGGUUUUCCCACUUCCUGCCACAGCACUGCAAGAAGUCUCAAGGCUGGAAGAGGGUUGAAAAGAAAACUUGAGAAAGGAACUUCCUGGGAACAGCUCUUACUGUGUGCCAAACACUGUUCUCAGGGCUUUAAAUAACUCACUUAAUCCUCAUAUCUACCCCAUAGAUUAUUAUCUCCAUUUUAAAGAUAAGGAGGUGAAGACACAGAGAGGUUAAGUAACUUGCUCAAGGUCACACAGCUGGGAUGGAGGAAGCUGAGACUUCGGGGUCUGUGCUCUUGACCCUUCCCCAUCCUGCUCUCCUAAGAUAACCUAACCUGGCUCCCUGCCUUGAGCUCCACUCACAUCUCUUCUUGAUUGAAGGACUGUUAAUGACCAGUCCUUUGGAGACUGGCAAACCAGUGCCGUUUGGAGAGCAGCAGGGCUCCUGGGUCACUUCAAGUUUGCCCCCAGCACCCAGCACUACAUGGCUUCCCAUGGAGUGCCCCUGCUGCUUGAGCCAGCAAUCCUGGUACGUUGGGAGAUGACUCCAUAGCCCAUCCUCAGGGACUGUUCCUCUAGUUCAUCCCAAGGGGAAAGAGGACACCACCUAGAGUAGGCUACAGCACCCAGGGGAUCUCAGGGGCCACCCGGUCCAAGGCUUUGCAUGCAGUUUUAGCUGUAGAUUUCCAGAUGCAAAGACACGCGGAUCUGCUGUGGUUGACUAGCUUAGGGCAGGGCCCCCUUUGCUCCCUUCCCCGUCCUGGGCCCUGGCUUUGAGAAGAACACUUGUGGCUCCUUGGAAUCCAGUUUUAAAACUACUGGGCUAAGCCAAACUGCUCAUUUCCUAGAUGAGGGAGCUGAGGCUCGAAGAGGAGCUGGACCCCUGAAGGGUCAUACAGCUGGAGGAGGAGAAUGGAACAUUCCUCACUGGGCUUUCCACACCCCUGUGCUGCAAGUAUGGUGCAAAGGCAUGAAAAGGAAUGCUUCCUGACUUCAUUUACCACCUCCCACCCUGGUUGGCCUGCAGCUGGGCCUGAAUUCCCCUGAGGCUCUUAUUCUUUGCGUCAGUAUUUGUCUAAAUGCUGAGACAUUUGUAGUGUGCCAACAAAGCAGAGAAGGCUGCUGGCGCCCAAAGUUCUACCAUUUUAAGUAUCCACGCUUUUUAAAUGGAGAUGCCCUUGAGGGGCAUCACUGAAUCUAACCCUCUCUCACUCCUUUACUAAGGGUGGGUGUUAAAGGGGGAGGUGGGGCAAAGUGACAUUAUUUUAGCACCUACCGUAUGCUGUGUGCUUUACAUCUUUAUCGCAUCCUGUCUUCAUGACAUUCAUUUGUAGUAGACACGUUUGUCCCUGUUCUACCUUGGGUAAAGGCCUUGAGCUGUUAAGAGUGAAAGCUGGGAGAAUUGAAAACAGGGACUGACACAGAUACUUGUAUGCAAACAUCCACAGCAGCAUUAUUCACAAUAGCCGAAAAGUAGAAACAACUCAAGCGUCCAUUGACGGAUGAAAGGAUAAGCAGAAUGUGGUGUAACGACACAGUGGAAUAUUAUUCAGCCAUAAAUAGGAAUAAGUCUUGACACGUGCUACGGCCCUGGAUGAACCUUGAAAACAUUAUGCUGAGUGAAAGAAGCCAGGCACAGAAGGCCACGCACUGUGUGGCUCCACUUCUCUGAAAUGUCUAGACUAGGCAGAUUCAGUGAGACAGAAAGUAAAUUAGAGCUUACCAGGGACUUGUUGGAGGGAGGGAUGGGGAGUUAUUGCUUAAUGGGUAUAGAGUUUCUGUUUGGGAUGAUGGAAAAAAUGUGGGAAAAGAUGGUGGUGAUAGUGGACAUUAUGAAUGUAAUUAAUGCUGUGGAAUCGUCCGCUUACAAGUGGUUAAAAUGGCCAUUUUUCUGUUACGUCUAUUUUACCACAAUAAAAGAAAAAGAACAACAGAAGAAAGGUGAUGAUGAGAUAUAACCUCGGUCUGUCCGAUUCUAGAACCUGGGAUCUUUCUUUUCCACUGUGUCUUCUUCUCAGAGGUUAACCAAAGACAAAAUCCCCCCGAAUCACCUUCCCAGCUGCUGUACGAAGUAGCAAGUCCGGGAGGGCAGGUGGAUUGGAGGAUGUGCACACUGGCUGGUCCCUCCUGUGCCGGGUCCACCUUCUGGCUCCAAACCUUUGCGCCAUGUCAUUAGCUUUUCCUCAUGUCACAAUCUCCCUGCACAACAUUUUUAAAGACUGUGUAAUUGUCCUUCAAAUAGAUACAUUUAUUUCUCUCCCCCAGCCUUUCCUGGAAAACACAUCCUCUUUGACUGAUGUCUUUGGGCCCCUCUUGACAUCCUUGAGGCUGCCCUGCCAGCCGGGGCUCCCCAGAGCAGGCCGGAGCAUGCCCAUCGGGGUCCCUCUUCCUUUCUUGUGACCUUCCAGGUCGGAAAGUUGGAUGUUCCUUCGAUGCCAGUGGAGCCGGCGCUACCUCUGACCCCCAUUCCUGUGUGUGUGUGUGUGUGUGUGUGUGUGUGUGUAGUGUUUCCUGACCAGGAUUCCUCUUUUUAGAGUGUCUGGAGAUAGAGAAACCAGCCACAGGCUUCCUGAGGACAACCUCCCCUCAGCCUUGCCCUGGGUAGGCAGCCCUGGGUAGGUCUCUGUGGUGCCUGUGCGUGGCUGAAUCCGUGUGGCCUGACAGGCCCUCCCUGACCGUGGGCCUUGGGCAGAGAAAUGACAUCAUGGGGGUCUCAGUCGAAUUCCCUGGAUCUUAGGAGAUUCCUGCCCCUCCUUCAUUCCCAAGCCGCGUGGAAUGAAAUCUUGACUGGAGAAAAAUCUUCCCGGGCCAAGGUAUUUCCAACACGGCUUCAAAUUGAAGCCGGUCUGGAGGCUGUGGACCGGGAGGGUGUUCUGGAAGGUGGGGAGUCAGCUUGCUGUGCUCUCACCUCUCAUGCACGAGGAACGAGAGACACUCCCGGCCGUGAGCAUUCUGCACCUCAGCCCCUUAGGACCCAAGUUCUACCCGUGAAUUACCUGCACGUGGCCGCCCUGACCCAGAGCAGAGUUGGCCGAAUUCAAACCGCUUGCCAGGAAAAACCCUGCCUCUCUGGGUCCUGAGAGCCAGGACCGCCUGUGUAAACAGCGAGUCUUCUCCCAUCGCACACUCUGGGCCCACAGGUCUUGACCGGAGAUUAUCAAGUUGACAGAGCCCGGCUGGCCUCUCACUCCACGUCCAGGCAGAUUUUUGUUUUGUUAAUUAUCCUUUUUUGCUUUUGACGUAAAGAGUCAUGGUCUGGGUCAGGGCCACUUGUAUGUUUUCCUUUCUUUCUCAUUCAAGUUGCCCAGCUCUCAGGGCCUCUGGCUAAAUUCUGCUAGUGUUUAAAAAUGUUCUCUCUCACUUCCUGACCCCUAAAAAUCCUUCGUCCUGAUUUCUGCGAAGCCACUUGAACAGAGGAAGUAAGGGACAAGACCCUUUCAGUCCCUAUCUGCUUUUCGCUUCUUGGAGGGUCGUGGCUAUGUCUCAAGGGCUGUGCUUCUCCACUUUGCUGACCCAGGGAAUGUGAUACCUUGUGACCCGGGGUGGCCCAGUCAGCAGGGGCACCCUCGGAAAGGGCUGGAACCCCCUGUAGAGCAGGCUUGCUCAGAAGACUGCCUGGCCCCAUGGCCCCUCACGCAGUUGAUGGUCUCUGUGAACCUGCUCUCUGCCAUCUUAAGUUUGUCCAGACAAGUGUCGAUUUGCCAUAGGAUAAAGUUGAUUCUUUCAGAGGCCUGGUCUUCUCAGAAUACUUGCCAGGGUACAGAUACCUGGAGGGUCCUCCUCAUGGCCUAGCCAAACGCCCUUCGUCCUCUGAGCCUUGAUCAGACCUCACCUCAGCCAUGAGGCCACCUGUCUGAGCUCGCCCUUCUAGGGGCUGAAAGGCCGCUCCACACUCGGCCACCCUCAGUCCCCACCAGCCUUGAACUCCUGCCAUUGGCCAAGUGAGUCUGUUUAUGAGGUCACUGGGGUGGAGCUCAUGACCUGGGCACAGAGUGGACACUCAGGGACCCUGUUGUAGCUGACAGACUGGAUCAGCUCGGGCCCCAGCGGGAGAAGCAGCUCCUUGCUCUCCGACUGGUCACAGCAGUGGGACCACCUCUGGGUCCGCUCACAAAGGCAGCUCUGUGCCCUGCGGUGUCUUCCAGGCCUGGCAGAGUAACCCGCUAUCCCCAGGGUCACCCCCGAAUUGGUGUAAGAGAUCGUUGCCCAAAGACUUAAGGAGAUCACCAGGGUGGCCGUGUGUGUCUGCGUCAUAAUGGAACCGUGGGCCUUACGUAGGACACCAGGCUGCUUCCCAGCACAGUGUCAGGGCAAUGGCCUUCCUCACCUUCUCCUACCAUGAGAAGCCCCAGAGAGCCCCGGGAGUCCCUUGGACUCUGGAUCUCUGGCUGUUCAUCACAAAAAGAUAAAGGUGCAGAGUAGCAGUUGGGCAGGAGGUGGACCCCUGGAUGUCCCCCUAGAGAAGGCCCCUUCAAGACCGAGUGCUGUCUAUCAGAGACAAGGGAAGAUCCAGGUUUUGUAGGGGUUGAAGCUUAAGUAGCAUGGGAAGUAUGCUGUUUAAGAAGAACGAACAGAACAUUAGGUACAAAAGUAUUUCCUGAGAAUGAGAAAAGAAACCACAACCAAUGCCUGGAGCCUUGGAGAUUCGGUCUUUUUCACCUGAGAUCUCAAUUUACUGGAAGUGCUUGUGCGGAAAUGCUUCCCCUCUCACCUAGAAAACUCUGUAGCUCCUAGGACGGCAAGUAAAGGGCCCCAAAGCUUCAGCUUCCUCUGCUUCAGGACGAGCUGCUCCAGAUGGACCCAGGCUGCGUGGCCGUGGCUUUGCCACACGGCACUGAAGGUUUUGAUUAAAAGGUGGAAGAAUGGCUCUUUUUCUUCCUGUCAGCCAGACCUUAAGUCAACCCUGGAGUGAGGAAAUGCUGUCCAAAGCUGCCGUCCAGUAAAUGCUCUCCUUUGUCUGCCAGUUGUGAUUGUACAAGCAGGUUUCAUUUCAAGCCAGGAUUUGGGGUUGGAAUGAGCACCCUCCUUUGCCCACCUCCUGCCUGUCCUGCUUUCUUCACCCAGUUCCUGUUCCUAGAGUCUGGCGGGCUGGGCUGAGUUAGUUUACAGAACUCGGAACCGGCCAACUUGAGCCGGGGGAGAGAAAAGCGAGUGGAGGGGAUGCCUCUAGAGGGUCCUCCUCGCCACCUGGCCCAGCUCCUGAGUUUACAGAUGGUGCAUUUGUCUGGAUUCUUGGCAUCAAGUGGCAGAUACUUAACUCCCAGUUGCUCAAACAAAGGAGGAAUGUAUUGGAGGGGUGGGGGAUACGAUUAAAUGAAACUGUGAGAGAGACACGGCUGUACGUGGGCUCAGGAACCCCUGGCGCCAGGACGCUUUACUCAAGGCAGCUCCAGGUCCUCCCCCAGCCACCCCCAAGCCUCCAGCCCACAGUUUCUGCCCCAGACAAGCACUCCAACUA